AUCCUGGUGGCAUAGUGGUUAAGUGCUAUGGCUGCUAACCAAAAGGUUGAUAGUUCAAGUCCUCCUGGGAUU
rnacentral:tRNA from 1 species